UACGUAGGGUGCAAGCGUUAAUCGGAAUUACUGGGCGUAAAGCGUGCGCAGGCGGUUUUGUAAGUCUGUCGUGAAAUCCCCGGGCUCAACCUGGGAAUGGCGAUGGAUACUGGCUCGCUAGAGUGUGAUAGAGGAUGGUGGAAUUCCCGGUGUAGCGGUGAAAUGCGUAGAGAUCGGGAGGAACAUCAGUGGCGAAGGCGGCCAUCUGGAUCAACACUGACGCUGAGGCACGAAAGCGUGGGGAGCAAACAG
rnacentral:rRNA from 1 species